rnacentral:rRNA from 1 species
AACCGGCGCCACGGGUGCGUAACGCGUAUACAAUCCUGCCUUUCACAUAGGGAUAGCCCGAAGAAAUUUGGAUUAAUACCUAAUGGUAUAUAAGAGCGGCAUCGUUUUUAUAUUAAAGCUACGGUGGUGAAAGAUGAGUAUGCGUUCUAUUAGCUAGUUGGAGAGGUAACGGCUCCCCAAGGCGACGAUAGAUAGGGGUUCUGAGAGGGAUGUCCCCCACACUGGUACUGAGAUACGGACCAGACUCCUACGGGAGGCAGCAGUGAGGAAUAUUGGACAAUGGUCGGAAGACUGAUCCAGCCAUGCCGCGUGCAGGAUGAAGGUCCUAUGGAUUGUAAACUGCUUUUGUAAGGGAAGAAUAAGGAGUACGUGUACUUUGAUGACGGUACCUUACGAGUAAGCAUCGGCUAACUCCGUGCCAGCAGCCGCGGUAAUACGGAGGAUGCGAGCGUUAUCCGGAAUCAUUGGGUUUAAAGGGUCCGUAGGCGGGCUGAUAAGUCAGAGGUGAAAGCGCUUAGCUCAACUAAGCAACUGCCUUUGAAACUGUCAGUCUUGAAUGAUUGUGAAGUAGUUGGAAUGUGUAGUGUAGCGGUGAAAUGCUUAGAUAUUACACAGAACACCGAUAGCGAAGGCAUAUUACUAACAAUUUAUUGACGCUGAUGGACGAAAGCGUGGGGAGCGAACAGGAUUAGAUACCCUGGUAGUCCACGCUGUAAACGAUGGAUACUAGCUGUUUGGAGCAAUCUGAGUGGCUAACCGAAGUGAUAAGUAU